GAUGAACGCUGGCGGCGUGCUUAACACAUGCAAGUCGAACGGAACUACUCCAAUGAGAGUCUUCGGAAAGGAUUUGGUUUAGUUUAGUGGCGGACGGGUGAGUAACGCGUGGGUAACCUGCCCUAUACAGGGGGAUAACAGUUGGGAACGACUGUUAAUACCGCAUAAGCGCACAGGAGCGCAUGCUCCGGUGUGAAAAACUCCGGUGGUAUAGGAUGGACCCGCGUCUGAUUAGCUGGUUGGCGGGGUAACGGCCCACCAAGGCGACGAUCAGUAGCCGGCAUGAGAGGGUGAACGGCCACAUUGGGACUGAGACACGGCCCCAACUCCUACGGGAGGCAGCAGUGGGGAAUAUUGCACAAUGGGGGAAACCCUGAUGCAGCGACGCCGCGUGAGCGAAGAAGUAUCUCGGUAUGUAAAGCUCUAUCAGCAGGGAAGAAAAUGACGGUACCUGACUAAGAAGCCCCGGCUAACUACGUG
rnacentral:rRNA from 1 species